GACGUAUUAAAAAAAACUACUUACUAGAUCUCGUUCAAAUCAAUUUUCAGUGGAAGUUUACAUGGUAAUGUACAUCAUAUAUUUUUUUUAGUUUUAUCAUUCUCUUAUUUUAGAAAUUACAGGGGGGGGGGGGGACACACAUUUUACCACUUUGGAAGUGUCUCUCGCGCAAACUAUUCAGUUUAGAAAAAAAUAAUAUUAGGAACCUCAAUAUCAUUUUUGAAGACCUAUCCAUAGAUACCCCACACGUAUGGGUUUGAUGAAAAAAAAAAUUUUUGAGCGAUUUAUGACGUAUUAAAAAAAAACUACUUACUAGAUCUCUUACAGGGGGGGGGGGACGACGACACACAUUUUACCACUUUGGAAGUGUCUCUCGCGCAAACUAUUCAGUUUAGAAAAAAAUUAUAUUAGAAACCUCAAUAUCAUUUUUGAAGACCUAUCCAUAGAUACCCCACACGUAUGGGUUUGAUGAAAAAAAAUUUUGAGUUUCAGUUCUAAGUAUGGGAAACCCCAAAAAUUUAUUGUUUUUUUUCUAUUUUUGUGUGAAAAUCUUAAUGCGGUUCACAGA